GACGAACGCUGGCGGCGUGCUUAACACAUGCAAGUCGAACGGAAAGGCCCUGCUUUUGUGGGGUGCUCGAGUGGCGAACGGGUGAGUAACACGUGAGUAACCUGCCCUUGACUUUGGGAUAACUUCAGGAAACUGGGGCUAAUACCGGAUAGGAGCUCCUGCUGCAUGGUGGGGGUUGGAAAGUUUCGGCGGUUGGGGAUGGACUCGCGGCUUAUCAGCUUGUUGGUGGGGUAGUGGCUUACCAAGGCUUUGACGGGUAGCCGGCCUGAGAGGGUGACCGGCCACAUUGGGACUGAGAUACGGCCCAGACGCCUACGGGAGGCAGCAGUGGGGAAUAUUGCACAAUGGGCCGAAGCCUGAUGCAGCAACGCCGCGUGCGGGAUGACGGCCUUCGGGUUGUAAACCGCUUUCGCCUGUGACGAAGCGUGAGUGACGGUAAUGGGUAAAGAAGCACCGGCUAACUACGUG
rnacentral:rRNA from 1 species